CUUUUGAGGUGCAUCAAGCCAAGU
rnacentral:piRNA from 1 species